AUGCAAAUCACAGGGAUCUCUUUAAAAUGCAGAUUCUGACUGAGCUGGUCUGGGUGGGGCCUGGGGGUCUGUAUUUCUAAUAGACUCCCAGAGUGCUUGAAUA
rnacentral:pre_miRNA from 1 species